rnacentral:rRNA from 1 species
UACGAAGGGGGCUAGCGUUGCUCGGAAUUACUGGGCGUAAAGCGCGCGUAGGCGGCUUCUUAAGUCGGUGGUGAAAUCCUGGAGCUCAACUCCAGAACUGCCUUCGAUACUGGGAAGCUCGAGUCCGGGAGAGGUGAGUGGAACUGCGAGUGUAGAGGUGAAAUUCGUAGAUAUUCGCAAGAACACCAGUGGCGAAGGCGGCUCACUGGCCCGGUACUGACGCUGAGGUGCGAAAGCGUGGGGAGCAAACAGG